AACAACAACAAAAACAACAACAACACCAACACCACCACCACCAACAAUAAUAAUAAUAACAAUAACAAUAAGAAAGUGAACAACAACAACAACAACAACAACAACAACAACAACAACAACAACAACAACCACAACAACAACGACAACGACAACGACAACGACAACGACGACAACAACAACAACAACCACAACAACAACAACAACAACAACAACAACAACAACAACAACAACAACAACCACAACAACGACGACGAC
rnacentral:lncRNA from 1 species